rnacentral:rRNA from 1 species
GGGGAGCAAACAGGAUUAGAUACCCUGGUAGUCCACGCCGUAAACGAUGUCGACUUGGAGGUUGUGCCCUUGAGGCGUGGCUUCCGGAGCUAACGCGUUAAGUCGACCGCCUGGGGAGUACGGCCGCAAGGUUAAAACUCAAAUGAAUUGACGGGGGCCCGCACAAGCGGUGGAGCAUGUGGUUUAAUUCGAUGCAACGCGAAGAACCUUACCUGGCCUUGACAUCCAGAGAACUUAGCAGAGAUGCUUUGGUGCCUUCGGGAACUCUGAGACAGGUGCUGCAUGGCUGUCGUCAGCUCGUGUUGUGAAAUGUUGGGUUAAGUCCCGCAACGAGCGCAACCCUUAUCCUUUGUUGCCAGCGAUUCGGUCGGGAACUCAAAGGAGACUGCCGGUGAUAAACCGGAGGAAGGUGGGGAUGACGUCAAGUCAUCAUGGCCCUUACGGCCAGGGCUACACACGUGCUACAAUGGCGCAUACAAAGAGAAGCGACCUCGCGAGAGCAAGCGGACCUCAUAAAGUGCGUCGUAGUCCGGAUUGGAGUCUGCAACUCGACUCCAUGAAGUCGGAAUCGCUAGUAAUCGUAGAUCAGAAUGCUACGGUGAAUACGUUCCCGGGCCUUGUACACACCGCCCGUCACACCAUGGGAGUGGGUUGCAAAAGAAGUAGGUAGCUUAACCUUCGGGAGGGCGCU